CCUACGGGGGGCUGCAGUGAGGAAUAUUGCGCAAUGGCCGAAAGGCUGACGCAGCGACGCCGCGUGAGGGAUGAAGUCCGUUAGGAUGUAAACCUCUUUUGCAGGGGAUGAAUGUCUCGCUAUACGCGGGAUUGACCGUACCCUGCGAAUAAGGAUCGGCUAACUACGUGCCAGCAGCCGCGGUAAUACGUAGGAUCCGAGCGUUGUCCGGAAUUAAAGGGUGUAAUGGGUGGGUUGGUGGGUUCCUAGGGAAAUCCCGCCGCGUAACUGCGGAAUUGCCUUCGAUACUGGGGAUCUUGAGUACGGCAGAGGGAGAUGGAAUUCAUGGUGUAGCGGUGAAAUGUGUAGAUAUCAUGAAGAACACCGGUAGCGAAGGCGGUCUCCUGGUCCGUAACUGACACUGAUGCGCGAAAGCGUGGGGAGCGAACAGGAUUAGAUACCCUAGUAGUC
rnacentral:rRNA from 1 species